rnacentral:rRNA from 1 species
GACGAACGCUGGCGGCGUGCUUAACACAUGCAAGUCGAACGGAAAGGCCCCAGCUUGCUGGGGUACUCGAGUGGCGAACGGGUGAGUAACACGUGGGUGAUCUGCCCUGCACUCUGGGAUAAGCCUGGGAAACUGGGUCUAAUACCGGAUAGGACCGUGCUUUAGUGUGUGCGGUGGAAAGUUUUUCGGUGCAGGAUGGGCCCGCGGCCUAUCAGCUUGUUGGUGGGGUAAUGGCCUACCAAGGCGGCGACGGGUAGCCGGCCUGAGAGGGUGUACGGCCACAUUGGGACUGAGACACGGCCCAGACUCCUACGGGAGGCAGCAGUGGGGAAUAUUGCACAAUGGGCGCAAGCCUGAUGCAGCGACGCCGCGUGGGGGAUGACGGCCUUCGGGUUGUAAACCCCUUUCGGCAGGGACGAAGCUUUUGUGACGGUACCUGCAUAAGAAGCACCGGCUAACUACGUG